AACGAACGCUGGUGGCAUGCUUAACACAUGCAAGUCGAACGGAAGUAUUUGAGGUGCUUGCACUGAAAAUAUGAGCGUGGCAGACGGGUGAGUAAUGCGUGGGAAUGUACCUCGAAGUUCGGAAUAACGUUUGGAAACGAACGAUAAUAACGGAUACGUCCUGUAGUUGAGACGCUACAGGAGAAAGGCUUGCUGCUUCGAGAGCAGCCCACGUCGGAUUAGCUAGUUGGUGGGGUAAAGGCCUACCAAGGCUAUGAUCUGUAGCUGAUUUGAGAGGAUGAUCAGCCGCACUGGGACUGAGGACGGCCCAGACUCCUACGGGAGGCAGCAGUGGGGAAUAUUGGACAAUGGGGGAAACCCUGAUCCAGCGAUGUCACGUGUGUGAUGAAGGCCUUCGGUUGUAAAGCACUUUUAUUAGGGAAGAUAAUGACGGUACCUAAAGAAAAAGCUCCGGCAAACUUCGUGCCAGCAGCCGCCGUAACAC
rnacentral:rRNA from 1 species